rnacentral:lncRNA from 1 species
CAGCUUUCUCUCUUCUGGGCUCUUUCCUGUGCCUCAGAUUCUCCUGCUGUCGGGACUACCUUCUCAGAGGUGGGUUUAUUCCAGAAGUGGUAUGUGCAGCUGAUGAGCAGUACACAACAAAAUACUGCAAAUCAUAUCUUUCUGGGACAGUGAAACCAUACAUUUGCCAUCAUGCACACAGAUGAGUAAGAGCAGAGUAAAAUACAAUGUGAGCUGCUGACAUAGUGAAUCCCAAAGUCAAGACAAGUCAACGUUUGCAACCAAGAUGAAUGUGUAGUCUUGUAUUCCACAUAGCUGGCUUUGAAGAUGGAAGAAAUACAGCUGUUACCAUUGCUGCAGUUAGCUCAAAGCUGUGGGGUCCUGGACGUUGACGUCAUAUCCUAGACCAGAUUGUAGCAGCAAUAAUCAAGAGCUAGAGCAGUCCCAUUUGACUGUUUCAGGUGAGUUUCAUGCUACAGUUAGAUGUGACAAUGUCAAACU